rnacentral:rRNA from 1 species
UACGUAGGGUGCGAGCGUUAAUCGGAAUUAUUGGGCGUAAAGCGCGCGUAGGCGGUUACUCAAGUCGGAUGUGAAAGCCCUCGGCUUAACUGAGGAAGUGCACCCGAAACUGAGUAGCUAGAGUACUAAAGAGGGUCGCGGAAUUCCCGGUGUAGAGGUGAAAUUCGUAGAUAUCGGGAGGAACACCGGUGGCGAAGGCGGCGACCUGGGUAGAUACUGACGCUGAGGUGCGAAAGCGUGGGGAGCAAACAGG